AUGCAUAUGCUGCAUAUUUAAUUUCAGCACAUUUAUUUUACACAUAGAUAUCAGGUUCGGCGAUGAUUAAUUUGCUCCAUACUGCAUUAUAUCACAAUCAUAACACCUCUCCCUGUUAUUUUAGUUAAAACGUUAUAACUUAUGGCAGAAAAUGCAUUUUCCAAUCGAAUUUUUGUAAGCAUACUGUUGCAUAGCAUAAUUACACUUUUGAAGUGCGAUUCACUAGUACCAAAUUUUUAUAUGGAGAGAAGUCUCCCUAUAGGAAUCUUCUUCUUAAAUACAAGCGGCAAAUAGAUUGUUACAGAUGUAAGGACUUCUUGAAAUUUUGUAACAUUGAUUAUGACUGUAAAUAACUGAAUUUGGUCAUGCCAGGAAGUGGCAGAUGUAGGUUGGACUGCAAUCUUGGAAAGAUUUGGUAGAGAUUAGAUCACUAGGCCUCCAGAUUUCGUAGUUCACAAAAGUUUAAAGAAUGACAGUAAAUAGUAAUGAUUUUACCAAGCAAUCUAUUUUCAUUAUGUGCUAAGGGUCUCUGCUCUUAGUCAUUGUUGGCUACUGCGUAACUCUGUUAUACCUACAAGUGUGUGGCUAGCCAUUAUGUAUUUACAGCAAAUUCUUCAUGGUCAAAUAAAGAUCGUUCUGAAUUACCAAUACUUUAUGUAACUGCUGCUUGUCAAUGGAUAUCUGAAUUACGUAUAACUAUCAGGAAAACAUUUUCUUAAGGUCUUGUUAAAAAUCUGUUUCCCACAUUAUCUGAACAGGCUGGUAUAUCCUCCCUUCUUCAAGAUCAAUUUGAGGAAUUAGCUAGACACAAACAGGAUGACACCAAGAACUCUGGACAUGGCAACUCCAAGAUGGUUGUCAUAGGUCAGAGUUGCGUGGAACCGCUUGAAGCACUUAGAAGUUCGGGUCAUGAGGUAAUAGAAGGCGUUGCUAUCUUAAUGCUUUGUUAUCUAUUGUGGUACUUCCCAAUAUUGCUCUGUUUCUACUUCUAAUCUUCUUUCUUUUUGUUGGUACACAUCAGCCACUUUUUGUGAUAUGCUCUAUUGCUUCAUUUUUAUUAUUGUCAUUACUUAUUUAAAAACCUACAGUUGGAAUUUCCAAUCCAAACAUAAGAAACAGUACAAUAUAGGGAAUGUAUAUCUAUACUAUACUGUUAAAACCGAAGCAUAGAUUUUUUUCAGCUGUUGGCCAUGGUUGGUUUUUGGUCAGUUGAGCCAGAUAUAAAAACGAACAUUCUAGACAUUAUGUAUUUUACAUCCUAAUUUAUGUUAGAUCGAACUUGCCCAGUUGAAGUAAUUGGAUUAAAAUAGGUAACAGGAUUAAGAAAAUAAUUCCAAAUAUGAUCCUACCUAUAAUAUAAAAACCGCAUCUGGGUUAAAAUGUUUAUAUUGUUCUCAAAACUAAGCAGCGCAGGUUAAUGUACCUUAUUUAACAUAUAUAUAGGUGGGUUGAAAAAGGAAGUGUUUUUUUCUAUAAGAAAUCCUAGAUAGCAAAUAAAUACAAGUGGUUAAAAUAUAUCACUGGAUUAAAAUAAGUGGGUAUAUAGUAUGAAAAAUAUGUAUAAUAUUUACUUCAGUUAAAAGUAAAAAACGAUGGACUGUAAGAAUAUAAACUUGUACUUAAACCUACUCCAGAAUAUGUAGAAAUAUGGAAUGUAUUAUUGCAUGAUUUAUUUCCUAAAUACAUUAACCACAUUAAUAGUUUAAUACCAAGCUUGCUAGUAUGACUUGAUAUUGUUAUUUGAGCCCUGUUUUCAAUUUCCACUAUUGGUCUUGCAAAUUUUAUAGUACAUUGAAAUGGCUCCAUAACCUAAAUAUUUUGUAUAAUCUGUACUAUAUUAUUAAAGCAGAAAGUAAAUAAGGUCAAUUGAAAACUAUAGGCCUUAUAAUAUAAAAAAAAUAUAACAAUACAAGUAAAUAUGAAUAAAAAAUAAAAUAUUAAUAAAUUAAUAAUAAUAUAACAAAUAUUAAAAGUAACAUGUGUUGGAAGGAAGACUCAAAAUAUCUCAAAAUGUCUCAAAAUAUCUGCGUGUUACAAAAUAGUAAAUAGUGGUAGAGAAGGUAGAUCGGUGCCUCAAACCAUAAAUGCCCCAGUGUCCUAGUUCAAGCCCUAAAUAUUAUAUAAAAAAUUAUGUCCUAGUAACUUGGGACAUGUUUCACUAACUUCAACUUAAUAGUGUGACUUAUCCUCACUAUAUGUUUAAUAUUUUAAUAUUAAAGAUUCUCUUUCAUCAUUUUCUUUUGCCAAUAUAAAUUUGAAAAAGAAAGAGAGUAUAUAUAAGAAUUUAUUAUAAAAUAGGGGAGAGGUGCCCAAAAAUAAGGCUCGAAAAGGUUGUCCUAGUGAUAUAAGGCAUCACUAGGACAUUGUUGGAUCAACUUUUUACAUCAAAUGCCCUAAAUUAUAACUUAAGGCAUGAUAUAAGGCAUAUCUUGGACUUGCUCUAAUUCCCAAAUGUCUUAACAUAUCUGCAUGUUACAAAAUAGUAGUAGAGAAGGUAGAUCGGUGCCUUAAACCAUAAAUGCCCCAGUUAUAUCACCAUACAAGAGGAAACUAAUAAAUGCAAAGAUAUCUGUUAAUACAUAGAUAGAAAGUACCAUAUAUGGGAUCAACUUGUAUUAUUGCUGUAGUGAACUUCUGUCAGUCAGUACAUGGAGGCUUAAAUGCCUGUGAAGAUCAUUUUGGACGAGUCUUACUUGAGCAGAGCUGUAGAGAAUGAAUUGAAACACAAAGAUAAAAUGAGCAAUGCUAAGAAAACCAAGCUUUAUAACAAAUUAAUGCAGGCAAAACAAAUCUGUUAUCAGAAAUUCGAAAAACAUGUAAUGCCAUAAUCGAGAGAAUGAUGCUAUGGAUAAAUUAAUGUUUGUACUUCACUUUUUUAAAUAUGUUCUCAGGUGCACAUGGAUUUCAAAGGGGGCGCAGAAAGACGGAAAAGAUUAGAAAACCUAAGAAAGAAGAGAAAAGAUGAGAAAAGACGUAACAUUUCUUUUUCAUUUUUCUCUAUAAUGCACUUACUUUUUAAUGCUCGUUUUUAGAUCCUUGACUUUUGGGGUUUUCACUUGUUCAGGUAAACAUGAUCAGAAGAGAAAAGAGAAGAAAAGGCUAAAAGGGUUGGAGUAAAAUAUAGCAACUUAGAAGCUUACCGGCUGAAAUUUUGUUAAUGCACAGCUCUUAGUUUUGAAUUUUUGUUAAUGCACAACUCUUAAUUUAUGUGUGUAAUGUCAAAGCAUAUUCUUGGCAUCAGAUUAUUAUUAAACAAGGUUAUUUAUCAAGUGAAAGUGCAUGUUUCUGAUAACAUGGCCUCCUUUUGAUGAUGUUCUAUCCAGAACAAUUGUGUGCUUUGCAUUAUAAUAGUUGGAAGUUUUGGCUACCACCUUUUAAGGGGACAUUGAUAUAUUCCUUGUUUUUACAGUGCUUUAGACUGUACUGUGUACAGUAAUAUCGCAAUAUGCAUCCCUCUGAUGUAGCAUCAAUGACAUUUAAGCAUGCAUCUUUUCCAAAUUGGCAAAUUGCCACCUGGAAGCUGUCUGUUUGUAGUUUGAAAAACAAAUUGGCAGUUUUGUUCCAUAAGUUUCAAACUACAAACAGACAGCUUCCAGGUGGCAAUUUGCCAAUUUUACCAAUGCAAUUAAGAUGGGUGGAGUGAACGGAGAACAAUACUGGGGAGUAUUAAUGAUUUUAGGUGACAGUUGGUUCGAGGAGUGGUAUGAGAUUAGAUAAUACUUGUUGUUUGAAUAAUGAAAAUAGAUGGUUAGUGCCCAAUUCGAAUUGAUCGAUCACGAGGAACAAGAUUCAAGUAUGUUUGAUAUGGAUUGAUCGGGUCAUGGAGGAAAAAGGCCCAAGUUUGCUGGUCUGCUUUGAUAUGUCCUAUAUUCGUCAUUUCAUUUUCUAUUUUAGUUAGAGAUUAAGGUAUAAAUUCUGAUAUUUUAUAUUGUUCCUAUCAAAUAUCACGUAGGUUUGAAAUGAAAAAUAUUUCACGAACCUAACAAACUGGAAAUUUACUCGAAAACAUAAUAAAAAUUCAUUAAUCAUCAUCAUUUAUUAAAGUUUAAACUAAACACACCCAGGUAGAAGUGCAAUUUGUCAAUUUGGAAACUCCAAUUUCUGCAAUCUUGUACAGUAACAUAUACGAUGUCAAAUUCAGUGAAUUAUGUAGAGACUAUACAUAAGUGAAAACGCGCAUCUUAUAAUUAUGACGUAAAUUUCUUGCUGAGAGAGAGAGAGAGAGCAUGUAGCGGACUAGUACGCUCAAAACACAGCGCACAUGUACUAGCAAGUUGGAGUCGCAAGUAUUCAAUUUUGCAACCCAGUGGACGUUUUUGGCCUCCUAGAUUUCUAUCAGCAGAAAAGCGUAUUGUGAGUCAAUUUUUUGUUUGAAAUACUUUCACAUUUUGUAUGCGUGCUUAGACUGGGACUGCUCAAAAUAAGUCUCAUGAAAAUCUUAUAUUCUUCAACAAGGUUCUAUCUGUUGGAGGCGCUCUUUAAUAAAACUUUAACUUUAUCAUUCGUGAUAAAGAAAUCACCGCUUUCACCUGAUGGCCCGGAAAUGUCUGGCUUAUCAAUUUAUCCGACAAGAUUAUAAAAAAAACGGAAAACUAAACUAUUUUUUCCGGAACAAGUCGGCCUUGAGAAACUUGGGUCGUAUUAGAUGGAAACCAAACUUCCAGUGUGACUCAAAAUUUGUGCAUCACCCUUGCCCAAACCAGAAAUUCUUUUAAAUCUCAAGCCACCUGUGUGAGUACUAAAUAUCCAGUAUCCUUUAUAAGAUUUCACAAAUAUUUCUCCCUCCUUCCAUACGCCUAUAUCAUUAUCAUUAUAAACACAAGCAAUUGCAUAAACGCAAAUUUCAUUGUAAGCACUCGCAAGCGUCUCAGCCAGUCUGAUAUUAUACACUCUGCUCCAUUCCUUUUUCGCAUAAUCCAUCACCCAAAUAUCGAUAUCUUUAUCCCUCAUUGAGAUAUCCGCUACGGCCAAGUCGUUACUCAUAUCAAAUAAUUUAAAAUGACCGUAGCAAUCGAUUAGUUCAAAUUCCUCGAUGUUCUCUGACAGAAUCCCAGGAUGCGGAAUCACCUGGAAUUCCUCUGUACAGACAUCGAACGAGAUUAUGUUUUGGUCCACAGGCAAGUCCCCGUAGAAUUGUCGGAGAGGGCUUAACAUCCAAUGCAAGAAGCCGUGAACAAAUACAGGCUUUCCGUGGAUAGGAUAUCGAGGAACACUUGAAAUUUUUCUCCACGAGUUUGAGCCCAGAUUGUGCACUACAGUGCCCAUGCAUUCCCCUGUAUUCUGCAGAAUACAGACCAUUUUGAAGUUAUUAGUUGAACUAUCAAAGCCUAAUCCAUAGGCAUUUACUGGGGAUUCCUCUGGAUCUCCGUAGUGUUUCAUAAGAGCAAGAAAAUCAUCAUUUGGCGGGAAGGAGAUGGGUGGCAGAAGCCUCAGCUGAUUUCUAAGAGGAUUUAGCACUAGGAUUUUUUCGUCGUAGCAGUAUUCUGCAAAGUAAAGCAAUCCAUUGCAAGAACCGAAGGAACAACAACCAUUUACAUUUAUCUCCGCCAUAGGAAUUUUUCCUGCAUGGAUCAUCCUAUCAUCGGCUUCAUUGUCAUAUGCUGCACAUAUUCUUACGUUAUUUAUGAAUUUGGUGAAUUUUGGGAGAAUCAAAGGUGUUUGUGGGUCAGCACUUGCAGAAUGAAUAUUGAGAUGGCAAAGAAAAGGAUCAUCUAUGAUUUUUAGCCAUGAUUUGGAAACACAUCUCAGUUUCAAGAGAGAUUUAGUAGGAAUUUUAGAUAAGAUAUUGAACAUUAUGCACACAGGAAUUUCAUCCAUAGCUGAUUCAUAUGAAGAAACAGUGUUCCAAAUUGCCAAAUUCAUAAAAGAAAUUAUUCACACAGGUAAUGCAACAUCAAUAAAUGAAAGAGCUUCAAGAAUAAUCAUGUACCUUUAAUUAUUUAUGGAUUUGUUGCCAGGUCCUCCUUGGUUCAGAUAUGUCCGUAGAAUGCAAUUAAUCUAUUUUUAGGUUUGAUGUUCACUUGAACUUAGCUAGGCCAGCCAUACUAUAGUUCUUAUUCCAGACUUCUAAAUAGCAAUUCUAAUUUCUUUUGGCUAGUUAACAUGAUCACAGUAUCAAGCUUAAGCAUGGAGUUAUCAUUCUUGAGGCUAUUAAUUCAUUUUCUCCAUUUCUACUUUGAUUCAUUACCAUAUGUAUUUCGUCAUUUAUAUUUCUUUUAUUAUCUGCAGGAAACAGUGAAUCACACAACUAAUUUGCAAGAAACCUAUUUAUUCUUUAAUUUUGUCGGGGGUACUCCUCUGCACUAAAUUAGCAUAACCUGGAUUAGUAGGACUUAAUCGUACCUUGUAAUAUAUGUUUUACCUAUUAAUUAAUUUCUUCCAGGUAGCAGAAAUUAUGCCAGAAACCAUUUUAAGAGCAUCUCCAACCAUCUAAAACCCUUGGCUAAAAAAUGAGUUGGCAUACUUAAAAUAAAAAAAUUUAGCCAACAGCUCCAAAAACUCAACUCCAACCAUGCUCACCUGUUGUCUAUAAAUUUAGCCAACCUCCUAUGGAUGGCUAAAUUUGUCGAACCUCUACAGGUCUGUAAGAAAAUCUGUAAGAAGAUUGUACAUCAUUUAUUACCAUAUUGAACUGAUAUAUUAUAUUUUAACAAUUUAAAAUAUUAAUAACAUACUAUUUUUAAAUUAUAGCCAAUCAAUAUAGCCAUUACCAUUGAAGCAAAAUGUCUUACAGGUUCAGCAAAUUUUACAUAAUGUCUUAUUGGUCCAAUUUAGCCAACCAUUAUAGCCAACGCCGUUGGAGAUGCUCUAACAAGGGAUAACCUCAAUUCAGGGGCUUCACAGCCUGAAACAUAUAGUAUCAGAAACUUGUAAAAUACCCAACCAAAAAUGUAGCAGUAGUUACGUAUAUCAGGAUCAUGACCAUAUAAGAAGGAGAAAAAAAAUCGGAAAUACGAAUGAUAAAUGAGUUACCAUAGACAUCAGAGAUUAGAAGAAGCACAGAACUAGAACAAGAUGAUCCAGACACACUUUAUUUUGCCAGAGAGUUGUACAACAGAGCCUUCACCACAAUCAUUGAGCUCAGAGAUUAGGGGGUUCAUACCUACACUCGGCUGUACUCCCAAUACCAUCCCCGUCGUCAACAACUUACGGCGACUCUCCGCCACCACCAAUCCCAUAGCUAUCACUGCCACUGUUUUCUCCAGCCAAACCCAACACAUAUAUGUACUUAUACACACACUCAAGCAUACACAAACACUGGUGUUGCCCUCAUUAACACAACUCCAGGAAUUAAUACCCAGAAUAUCACGAUCCCGGAAAAUGGCCCCCAAUAUCAUUUAUUCAUGCUGGAUUUUCGAUUAAUUACUAAUCAAAUCGCUACAUCAGGUAAAACGCUAUUGGUGGGGGUUAACAGAACAAAACUUCAUAUAACGUUUACGCUACUAAAAACACCAGAUUAUCCGGCGUUAAUAACUGGUAUAUGGGGACAGGGGCGGAUCUAGAGACGGAAUUUAGGGGGGGCACCAAGCAAAUUUUCGAAAAACACCUACUCCCUCUGUCCCUCUCAUUUGUUUACCCUUACCAUUUUGGGAUGUCCCUCUCAUUUCUUUACAUUACCAUAAAUAGUAAGUUUUUCUCAUCAUUACACCCACUAUCUUCCCCACUAUCUCAUAUUUAACAAUAAAAACUACUAUUACACCCACUACUUUUCUCCACUAUCUCAAAUCUAUUAUUAAAUAUUGAUAGGUCCCACCACUUUACUCACUUUUCAUCUAACUUUAUUCAUUUUUCAUAAAUUGUCUUGGUCUCCGUGUCCCCCUCAAUUGUAAACAAUUGAGGGGGACGGAGGGAGUAUAUAUUUUCAAAUUUUGGGGGGGCACUUAUGUAUUUUUGUAAAAUUUAGAAUGGUGAAAAAUGUAAAAAAAAAAAUUUAGGGGGGGCACGUGUCCCCCGUGCCUCUUACUAGAUCCGCCCCUGUCUGGGGAGCCGCUUACUACACAGUGCAUAUACAUACAAAAUUGAAAGUGUAGUGCAAUUAACAAAAGUAUAUAUACAAAAGUGAUUUAGACCCCAGAUAUAGGAUGCGACUGCAAAUUAAUCAUUUCACGUUAGACCUCGAUAAAUUAAUAAAAUCAUCCGGCCUCUAUAUUAUUAAUAAAGGUUUAACAGUACAUAAGAGAAAGAAAAAGGUAGGGGAUGAUAAUGAUGAUCAAUUGAUGUCAUGAUCAUCAAAAUCAUCGUCGAAGGAGUUGUAGAAGUCGGUGUCGCGGACCCGGCGGUGGUCGGAGAUUGCCCCAUCGGCGAACAUGUCAUCAUCGUCCAAUUCCAUGGGCAUGCGGCCCCUUCGUGAACCCCAAGCUCCCCACCCACCAACGCGCUCACGCUCUGCCUGAUGCGCUUGCUGCUCCUCCUCCUCUAAAUCAAACUCAUCCACUGCUAUCGCCUUCUUCAUUCUUUCACGCUCUUAAAACCCUAGCUUCGAUGUAUAUAACCUUCGCAGGGUUCUCCGCUUUUGCUGAUGGCCUUUUAUUAACCCUUUAUACUGUAGUCCAUAUAUAUUGUACACUAGUCACAAUAUAUACAAAUUGAAUAAUCCGCAAUAUAUACAAAUUGAUUCAUGAUCCAAUUGAUUAAUCGAUUAUAUAUGAAAAUAUCUUCUUUACUAUUUCUUUUAUUUUCAAAAUUAGUUAUUACAACUUUUAUAUAUAUAUAUAUAUAUAUAUAUAUAUAUAUUUAAUAAUAGUUCUAUUAUUUAAAAUAUUAGAAGAUGUAUAUGAACUUAUACGCUAUUCGCAUCUUUAAAAAGAACAUGAGUUUCUUCUGAAAAAAUGGAUUAAAAUAUAGGGAUCUUUUUAAAAAUACCCAUCUGUAAAAUUAUUUUUUUAAAAAUACUACCAUCUUUUUCAUUGUUUUUAAAAAUACCUUUUCAUAAAAUUUUUUUUUCAAAAAUACGAUUUGCAACUUUUGCAACCUCAUUUGCAACCUUGGGCGGCGCAGCCGUAAAAGUUGCAAAUGAGGUUGCAAAAGUUGCAAAUGAGGUUGCAAAAGUUGCAAAUGAAGUUGCAAAAGUUGCAAAUAAAAAUGGAAAGUUGCAACUGUUGCAACUGCAAUUGCAACUAGUUCAACUGAAAACUGUAAGUUGCAAAAGUUGCAAAUGAGGUUGCAAAAGUUGCAAAUGAGGUUGCAAAUGAAGUUGCAACUGCAGUUGCAACUUUUGCAACUGCAGUUGCAACUUCAUUUGCAACCUCAGUUGCAACUAAAUGCAACUGAAAACUAUAUAUAGUUGUAAAUGAGGUUGCAAAAGUUGCAAAUGAGGUUGCAACUGCAGUUGCAACUUUUGCAACUACAUUUGCAACCUCAGUUGCAACUAAAUGCAAUUGAAAACUGUAAGUAACAACAGAUGUAUGGUGUGCCUCUGGCGGGGCCAUUAGAUUACAAUAGAAUCAACUGAAUGCAACCAUAUGCAACUGAAUACAACCAUAUGCAACCAUAUAUGCAAUUACAAAUCCUGAUUUCAAGUUCCAGUUUUCAAAUGCCAUUUUCCACCUCAUUUUCGGAAUCGAUAUGGAAAAUGGCAUUUGAAAACUGGAACUUGAAAUCAGGAUGCAACACGGCUGGCGCCGCCUGUAGUUGCAAAUGAGGUUGCAAAAGUUUCAAACAGUAUUUUUGAAUUUUUUUUUUUUAUGAAAAGGUAUUUUUAAAAAUAAUUCUGGAAGGUAGUAUUUUUGAAAACAAUAAAAGAAAAGGUAGGUAGUUUUGUAGAUUUCCCUAAAAUAUAUGAAACAUAAUUAUAAAUUUUAUAACUCAAAUAAUAUUAUCCAGAAAAACUAUGAUAAAAGUACUAAUAAAAAGUUCACGACCUUAAACAUUCUGCUCAUCAAAGAUUUGGUUGACUUAAAAAUUGUCACACUACUAGGAGUGUCAUAUUAAAUUUGGGAAGCGAUGAAGAACUCAUAACACCAUUAUCUAUUAUAUAUAUAAUAGAAGAACCUUGAGUAAUUUAAUUCAGAAUGACAAUUCUACCCUUCGCUCAUUAUACAAUACUUAUACAUAUAAAGGUUAUUACUGACUUUUAAUAUCAACGUAUUUAUUAGACAUUAAUGUCUAAUCAUUAAUAUAACUUAAUGACUUUAUAAUUAAAACUUCAAUACAUAUAUGUAUAUUAUAUUUAUACUUAUGAUUUAAUAAUAAAUAAAUAAAUAUCCAAUAUUGAAAAAAGUGGGAAUCAGAAAAUCGGCGAUUAAUCAGAAUGAUUUAAUAUUAUAUAUGUAAAAAUAAUAUAUAUAAUCUUUUUAAAAUUUUAAAUUUUCCCACCAAUUUUGUAAAUUUUAAUAUUCUGCCUACUUUUCGACCCAUUAAUCCAAUUUUCGACCAAUUAGCCAUCAAUUUAACUGAAUUUUGCCAAAUUCUAUUAUAUAUCGAAUACAACAAUGAUGCGUAAUUUAAUUUGAAGAGGCUAAUCUACCCUUACUCACUAUCAGUAUAUACUAACCUAUUUAUUAGACAUUAAUAUCUAUUCAUUAAUAUACAUUAAUUAUUUUAUAAUUAAAACUCCAAUACAUAUAUGUAUGAUAUUUGUAAUUAUGAUUUAAUAAAUAUCCAGUAUUAUAAAAAUUUUAUAAUUAAAACUCCAAUACAUAUAUGUAUCAUAUUUGUAAUUAUGAUUUAAUAAAUAUCCAGUAUUAUAAAAAGCGGGAAUCAAAAAAUCGGUGAUUAAUCGAAAUGAUUAACAUGAUCAUUAUUUGGAAUUAAUUUAAUAUUAUAUAUACAUAUAUAUUUAUAUAUUAUAUGAUCAUUUUUAAAAUUUUAAUUUUCCCCCACAAAUUAUAUAAAUUUUGAUAUUCUACCUGAUUUUCGACUGAUUAAUCCAGUUUUGGCCAAUUAAUCAUCGAUUUAACCGAAUUUUACCAAAUCAGAAUAAAAUGCGUUUGAUUAUCGAUUAAUCGGACGAUUUUUAGAAUAUUUAAUUAUUAUAAAAUAUAUAUAAUUUUCUGCCUAAUUUUCGACCCAUUAAUCCAAUUUUCGACCAAUUAGUCAUCAAUUUAACUGAAUUUUGCCAAAUUCUAUUAUAUAUCGAAUACAACAAUGAUGCGUAAUUUAAUUUGAAGAGGCUAAUCUACCCUUACUCACUAUCAGUAUAUACUAACCUAUUUAUUAGACAUUAAUAUCUAUUCAUUAAUAUACAUUAGUUAUUUUAUAAUUAAAACUCCAAUACAUAUAUGUAUGAUAUUUGUAAUUAUGAUUUAAUAAAUAUUCAGUAUUAUAAAAAUUUUAUAAUUAAAACUCCAAUACAUAUAUGUAUGAUAUUUGUAAUUAUGAUUUAAUAAAUAUCCAGUAUUAUAAAAAGCGGGAAUCAAAAAAUCGGUGAUUAAUCGAAAUGAUUAACAUGAUCAUUAUUUGGAAUUAAUUUAAUAUUAUAUAUAUAUAUAUAUAUAUAUAUAUUUAUAUAUUAUAUGAUCAUUUUUAAAAUUUUAAUUUUUCCCCACAAAUUAUAUAAAUUUUGAUAUUCUAGCUGAUUUUCGAUUGAUUAAUCCAGUUUUGGCCAAUUAAUCAUCGAUUUAACCGAAUUUUACCAAAUCAGAAUAAAAUGCGUUUGAUUAUCGAUUAAUCGGACGAUUUUUAGAAUAUUUAAUUAUUAUAAAAUAUAUAUAAUUAUAUGAUAAAGACUUUGAUUCGAUAAGAAUCUCGUUUUUUAUAUUAAAUUUUCAAUAAUUUUAGAUGAGUGGUAAUUUAAUUAUAUAAUAAAAUUUCAAAUAGUUUAUAUUUUUUGUAUUUAUAUUUAAUAAAUAUCAUUAUAGUGAGGAUAUGUGAACAUAUGGACAUCAAUAUAAUAUGACUUUAAUAUAAAAAAUAUAAAAUUAUAAUUUAAAAAAGAUGAGUAAAAAGAUAUAACAAAUAUUUAAAAAAUAAUUUAAAGCAACUCGUACUUUGCACGGGUUAAGAAGCUAGUUGUUUAUAAAAUGCUAAAGUCAUUCCUGCCACACUAUUUUACCACGAGUGUCAAUGUGUCAUAUUAAAUUCUGUAAAAAAUGAAUAACUCAUGCCACCUUUAUUGUUAUAGAAUGCUAGUAACUUAUUGCAAGUCAUUCUUUAUAUACUCCUUUCAUUUGCUAAGCCAGACGCCUACCAAAACUUCAAUAUCUAUUCACUGUUUACAUUACAGGAUUCACUGCUUCGUUUAGUAGAAAUAACUAAAAGGAAAAUGCUUGGUGCACAUAAUUGUGUACAAAAAUAAUGAUAUGUGGUGGAUUUUAAUUGGAUGCCCCCUUGCAUUUACACCAACUACCCCAAUUAAAACCCACCACAUCACUUGCCACAUCAUUAUGUACAAAUUUUCUAUACACAAUUAUGUGCACCUGGCACUACUCUAACUAAAAACUUAUACAUAUUUAUAUUCACCCUUAUACCAGCACCUUCUAUCAAGCCAUCUACUUUCGAUCUACGAUCUAUUCCAAUCUUCACCGUCAUCAUCAUAUUCAACCACCAUCAAUUUUUAGCAUAAAACUACUACUCCCUCCGUCCCACCAGGAUGUUUACGUUCACUGUUUGAACGCAUUUUGAGGCUCUUAUAAAGUAUAGUUCAAAAAUAAUUUUUUUAAUUUUUCUUUUUUUGAAUAAAAGUUUAAACGUCAAACUUUUUUUCAGGAUUUUUUUAAAAAAUAAAUAUAUAAUGUAAGUAUACUUUAUCGGAGCCUUAAAAUGCGUGUCAAAAAGUAACGUAAAGAACCUGGUGGGACGGAGGGAGUAACUAAAUCGUCGUGGGAAAAUGACUAAUAACCGGAUGCUCGAUACAAGAAGAUAAAAGAUUAGAAAGCAGUUGUGAGAUCUGGAUUGAAACUUAAAACUGAAAGAAAUAAAGAUAAAUAUUGCAGAGAGAUGAUGAUGACAUAACAUACAUGUGUUUAUGAAUAUGCAGCGAACGGGGAUGAUAAUUAGUGGGUGUAAAAGUUAAGUAGUGGAUAAGAAACACGUGCCAGAUAUUUGGUUUGUAGUUUGGCGCUUCUUUCUUUUUUUAUAAGAUUUUAACGUCAGUGAAUUGUACCCAAAAUACAAUAUCGAAAAGAUCGGAGAGCUUCUUUCAUAGAUGAAAAACUUUCAUCUAAUUAUCAAAGGACAUGUUGAAAAGCCCCACAAAAAUUUGAUAAAAAUUUUGAUGUUUGAAAAAAAACACCUGAAAGAAAAGCAAAAUCCACGGAACUAAGAGGAAAGGAAAACUUUAAUUCAAAAAAUCUACCGACUAAGCAAAGAUCAUGCCGAGAUGGCCCCGGAAAUUUAGCCAAUAAAACUUCAAUGAUUGAAUAGAAAACCCCGAUGAAAAACAAAAUUCCGCGGAAAGGAAAAAAGUAAAGAGGGAGAAAAAAAGGAGGAAAUAAAAGAAUAAUCAAGCAUGAAAGAUUAUGCCAGGCACCGAAACAAAGUCAUCUAAAAUGACACAAUAGUUCAUAAACGACAAACAUAAUUGCAAUAUACGAUCAAAAAGCCAUCAAUUGUGGCACUCCCUCGAUAGGGGCACAAUAAUUAAAACUAAAUAUGCAACAAGCCUUAUAAAUCUAGUUAUAAACGAAUCAUAUACAAGACAAAUAUAUUAAAAAUCACUAAAACAAAAGAUUUUGAACUCAUACAAUUAUCGUGGGGUCAAUCCACACGAACCUUACUUUAUCGAAUAUAAAUAUAUGUAAUCAUCGGCUGUAUAUGAUUCACUUAACUCAUCAUUCACUCAUCCCAAUUGAAUCAAAGUCACUUAACUCGCCAUUGACUCAUCCCAAUUGAUUUAUCACCAAAUCAAAAUCUUGAAAAGCGAGUAGAUCUAAAAUCUUGGAACGGAUUCGGUGGGAAGUAUUAUUGAGAAAACGAAAACAAAUCAAGAGAAAUACAAUGAUUCGGAGCUUUUCAUCGGUGAAAAUCGAUGAAAUCUCCAACGACAGUUUGAAAAAAGAAGAGAGAGAGGAGGCUAGGGUUUGUAGUUUGGCUCUAGUUUAAUUUGUAUUUGAGUAGUUGGUCCCCGUAUAUGUGUAAAUUACUAUUUUAGUACAACCAAAUUAAAAUACAAACAAUAAACCCUACUCACACACUCAUAUACACUUAAAUAUAUUUACGCACAUAUACAAGUACUAUUAUCCACUACAUCAUCACCUUCAGUUCGACUAACACUACAACCAAAUCAUCAACAUUAAAAGCUAUCUCCAAUCAUCAACAAUACUGCAUACAAAUCACCACCUUUUAAACAUAAAUUCUUGUAAUACAAAUCACUAUUUUCUAAAGCAAAUAUCACUAAAUUAUACAACAGGAAUCAUCGAUUUUUGUAAAUAUGAAAGUUCAAACAAUAUUACAACCCAUGACAGAGCUCUAGUCAUCGAAGCGAUUGGAAAAAAGUCGGGAGAAAGAUGGUGAUGACGGGUGGAGGGGACAAGGAUCAUGACGAUGAUGGUAAAAUCAAGGGGAGUGGGAUGAGUCAACAGGGGGAGUGGGAUGAGUCGAUAGUUAUGAAGGGGGUGGUAGAAGACUAGAAGUGGUCAGCUUGAGAAAGGGAGAUAUAAAAGUUGAAUUGGCAAAUGGCAAGAGAGAUGAAGGUGGAGCAGGCAUAGUGACUUUGCGGGAUGGUGGGUGUGAUAUGGCAGUGGUCAGUUUGGAGGAAGACUGGAAUGGUGUGACAGCAGUGGUCAAUUUGGAGGAGGGAGAGACAAAAGUGAGAUUGACAAGAAAAAUGAAGAUAGAGCUCAUAGGAGAGGGGAUAAAUAAAAGUGGGGUUGACAAGGAAAAAAGAAGGAUGAAUUUGUGGAUAGUGUAAAACAAGAUAUUUUUAGUUUGUGCUCAGAUCUGUUUUGUAUUUGAUCACCACCUUAUAUGCAUGUGUGUAUCUGAACAAUUUUUAUUUAUUUUGUAAUUUUAUUAGUAACAUUGCAGUUACUUAUAUUAUAUAAUAAAUUAUAUAUUAAUAACUAAUAUGCAUGUUUGUACGGUGUCCUAUGUCUGUGAACUGUUGACACUCCAUAUAACAGGUUUCAAGCAAAAUCUAUAUCAAGCUAACUGACCAAAACCCAACAACUUUCUCCAUAUAACCAGCCAAAGGCGUGCCAAAAUAGCACAUUUCUAAAUUACAACAACAUUCUAUUCCUUUUUUUUUUUUUCUUGUUAAAAAGACAAAUCAAAUAUUUGAAUCUAACAUCUAAUGUACAGAAACACAAAUGUCAUACAAUGAACCCUACUCAGCUUCCAGAAAUAUGUCUGCAUAUCUGAAGCUAAGGUAUACUGAGUACAAGUAUUUCUCUCAUGAACUCGACAAUUUGCUUUGGCAGUGAGGGGGAUCACUUAUUAAGCUUGAACUGUUGUAGUUCAUUGAACAAGAGAGAGAGACCAGACAACCAACUUCUCUGCAUCACAUGCACUCAUCUUCUGUGCAGGUAGUUUCCAUUUGUUUGCCAUAUAUCUAAAUGUCUAUACCAGAAACUAAACAGUCAUAGCUCCGAAAUUACAAAUUUGUAUCUUACCCACUGAAGGAGCGUGCAUACAGGUACUAGGCAAGAGCACUGUAUGCAUGGGUUCACUAUUUGUAUGGACAACUUAUCAAGUAAUAAAGUAGUUAGCCAAGAUACAUCCACUCCUUAAUGAUCUGCAAUCAAACCCUAGAACAAAAAACAAAUGAUUAACAAGACUUAAUUGAUGUGAUAAUGUUUCAGCUAGAUCAACGUAACUACAGAAAAUCAUACAUCCUCUAGGACAUGUAAUACAUACAAAUAGUAAGUGUUUAUCAAGAGCUGCUUUCCAAUGACUGGGAUAAAUUUUUUCAAGGACAAUUAAUCUGUAUUACUUGGUUGAUUUCCAAGUAAUCCUAUAAUGGUGCUACAGAAGAAAAUUCUAGUGUACAGAGUACAGACAAGUCCACACUCCUAGUCUCGCCACUGGUAGCAGGUUCCAAUAUUAAUGUAGAAUGUAGAUUAAAUCCAUAACUGGAGAUGUUUUUACUUGUAUUAUUUAUUCAAAAUUCAGUUAGAAAUGUACAAAAGUUUUAGAAUUUUGAUCACCAUCAAAGGAGAACUUAAGUUUUACCAACUACAAACCACAGACAGCAUCACAGCAGGGAGAAGGGACGUUUGUUGUGUUCCAUAAUACAUGCAAAGCAAAUUCUACUGUUACUCUUUGUUGGCAUUUUAGUAAGAUUUAAAAGAAGUGUAAUCCUUGGUUAAUACUAGUCUAGCGAUGUGUGGAAUUUACAAUUAUGAAUGAUCUCUGUCGUAUUACCUCAAUCAUGUCUUCAUCUGAAGAACAGAUUCCUGAAUAGUUCAAGCCACUAGAAACAUUAUACUGAAAAAUCCUUAGCUUUCCUUCCUGCAAUUUAGAGAAAUACAACAUGAAUCCCUUACAAAAAUAUAAUAAAUUUUAAACAGCAACAGGUCCCGCGAUUAGUUGUGAAUAUAUACGAGUUUAUCACCUUUGUUCCAUAGACAAGACCGCCACCGACCGAUGGAUGGAAGCAGGCUACAUUGACUUCAUCCUCUGCACUAGGAAGCACUCUCACAAGUUCCAUAUCAGAAACUCUAUAAACCUGAUUAAGAAAAGCCAAAUUUUAAAUGGUUCAUUAGUACGGUUUCAACUAGACUCAUAUAUAUUAUACCAUCACUAUAGUUCUUCAGAUGACCUACAUUUAAAUCGAUAAAAGAUUCAUGUUUUCUAUAUUGCUUGUUAGCUGUGAAAUCUGUCUUGUAGUAGUCGCUGAUUAUUGAUUACCACAAUCCAACCAAUGACUAUAACUAAGGCAGAGCUUAUUAAUGCCAAACGAAACACGUCAUUCAAGAAAUUUUAUGAAUACAAAAAAGUAAAAAAAAAAAAAAAAAAAAAAAAAAAAAAAAAAAAAAAAAAAAAAAAAAAAAAAAAAAAAAAAAAAAAAAAAAAAAAAAAAAAAAAAAAAAAAAAAAAAAAAAAAAAAAAAAAAGUUUUCAACAACCAGCAGGUCAAAAGCAUUAUACAUAUGUCUGUAAUAUGGUAAUCGAAAAAAAUUAAGC
rnacentral:lncRNA from 1 species